rnacentral:lncRNA from 1 species
UGUCUAAAUUCGUUGGACUGUCUCCAGUCAACCGCUUGUACUUGCAAUAGUAGGAACUCUCAAGACGGCGCCGGACUUAUGUUAUUCCACCAAAAGUUGGAGGUGGUGGAUUCAACUCCAGGCUUAAUUAGUUUACUGCAGUUGAGGGAUAGAUCCAUUGGCAUUCGGGAACAAGAGCUUCUAUUAACAAGGUUGACAUGUUUGUCGUGCCUAGUUCCUCUCGUGCAUUUACUGUCACUGGCUUUGACUGGAUUACCUCAGCGUAGAUUAGUUGUGUGAUAUUGGCAGUGAUGGAUUUGAUGUCAAGUUUAGCGAAACUUUGCCUUUACAAUUAUGUAUCAAAGAUGAUUUGUCUAGCACUCUGACUGCAUGGAUUGCCUUGAAUGAGCUCGAACCCUAGUAAUCUAAGUUAGUUGACUCCAUUCUCACUGUUCUAAGAUAGACCCACUCAGGACAGACGCAAUCGACAAGAGAGAGGAUUUUAGAAGGGGAAAUGAGAGAGAAAAGGGGGAACAAAUGGAAGAGGAGGAAAUCUUUGUUUAUUCAAUAAUCAAGUCUAAUUAAUAUAAUGCAUAGACCCUCCUUAUAUAGGUUUUCAAGUAGUCAAAUUUAUGUAGGAAAACAACUAAAGCGAUAACAUAAAAUACUAGAAAAUCAUUAAAAUUAAAUCAUGAUUGCUUGGUGAAUCUUCAAUACUAUACUAUUAUAGAUCUCCAUCACUUCCACUUUGUUUUACCUCUAUGGAUGGCCGUCUCUUCUUUUGGGUGGGGUCAACACCUCCACAUUGAGGGGUCGUUAAGUGCCACAAGGAUAAAUAUGUGGGAUCGAGUAUAAGGUUGAACAUUUUCUCGGAUGACACAAGUACAUGGAAGUGACAAAACUUAUCCAAUGGAUAUGAAGGAUUCAUGUUCGGUGGUUGUAUAACAUCAAACAAUUGACUACCUCAGGAAGCAGAGAAGUAGAAUACGCAGUGCAAGGGAAAUAGAAGGUAAUUUCAUAGGAAUCAUGGUGGACUUGGUGACAGACACGUCAAAUGUGACUAAUAUGGAUCGGCAAUUUGAAAUAUUCGUCUCCCUCAAGUGAAUAGGUUGGAUUAAACAAGAUCAUGACUUCCUCCUUUUCUUCCAUACUGAAAUCUAAAAAACUUGUUUCGAACAUCACAAGUCCGCCUUUUCUUCUCCUUUUCCUUAUAUUUUGAAACCCAUAAAACUUGAUCUGAACUUUCACAGCAAGCUUCCUAAUUUCCCUUUCCUUCAUUCUAGCACAUUUUUAAGCAUCAUUCAUCCUCUUUCACGUUCUACCAAACAUGGGUAAUGUAGAUAGAGAAAGUAGGCAUUAUAAGGAAGAAAGAACGUAAGAGAAAUAUUAACGUCUAGGAGAGAAGAGCCUUUGCAUUUGUAAUGAAUAUUGGUCUAUCCAUCUAUUAAGCCAUCAGACAUUUCAAAUUCCAUCUAAGUCCCAUUCUUAACUGAGAAACAACCCUACUCCACAUAGUGGAAAAGUGAAAUAAAAUUAAAAUUUACAAAACAAAAGAAAAUCAAAAAAUUUCUGUUGGGUCAGCUGA